rnacentral:ribozyme from 1 species
AAGAGAAAAAAAGCAAAAAAGCAAAACGAAAAAAACGACGGACAUUUGUAGAGAGUGUACAUGCAGGUACAUAAACAUGCAUACUUGCGUCUCUUUCUCUCUCUCUCUCUCUCU